GCGGAAGUGGCGGAAUUGGCAGACGCACCAGCUUGAGGGGCUGGCGGUGGCAACACCGUGAAGGUUCGAGUCCUUUCUUCCGCACCA
rnacentral:tRNA from 1 species